UACGUAGGUGGCAAGCGUUGUCCGGAUUUACUGGGCGUAAAGCGCACGUAGGCGGAUCGUUAAGUCGGGGGUGAAAUCCUGGAGCUCAACUCCAGAACUGCCUUCGAUACUGGCGAUCUCGAGUUCGGGAGAGGUGAGUGGAACUGCGAGUGUAGAGGUGAAAUUCGUAGAUAUUCGCAAGAACACCAGUGGCGAAGGCGGCUCACUGGCCCGAUACUGACGCUGAGGUGCGAAAGCGUGGGGAGCAAACAGG
rnacentral:rRNA from 1 species